rnacentral:rRNA from 1 species
CCUACGGGAGGCAGCAGUCGAGAAUCAUUCACAAUGGGGGAAACCCUGAUGGUGCGACGCCGCGUGGGGGAAUGAAGGUCUUCGGAUUGUAAACCCCUGUCAUGUGGGAGCAAAUUAAAAAGAUAGUACCACAAGAGGAAGAGACGGCUAACUCUGUGCCAGCAGCCGCGGUAAUACAGAGGUCUCAAGCGUUGUUCGGAAUCCCUGGGCGUAAAGCGUGCGUAGGCUGUUUCGUAAGUCGUGUGUGAAAGGCGCGGGCUCAACCCGCGGACGGCACAUGAUACUGCGAGACUAGAGUAAGGGAGGGGGAACCGGAAUUCUCGGUGUAGCAGUGAAAUGCGUAGAUAUCGAGAGGAACACUCGUGGCGAAGGCGGGUUCCUGGACAUUAACUGACGCUGAGGCACGAAGGCCAGGGGAGCGAAAGGGAUUAGAUACCCUAGUAGUC